UGGGGAAUUUUGGACAAUGGGGGAAACCCUGAUCCAGCCAUCCCGCGUGUGCGAUGAAGGCCUUCGGGUUGUAAAGCACUUUUUGCAGGAAAGAAACGUCAUGGGUUAAUACCCCGUGAAACUGACGGUACCUGCAGAAUAAGCACCGGCUAACUACGUGCCAGCAGCCGCGGUAAUACGUAGGGUGCAAGCGUUAAUCGGAAUUACUGGGCGUAAAGCGUGCGCAGGCGGUUCGGAAAGAAAGAUGUGAAAUCCCAGAGCUCAACUUUGGAACUGCAUUUUUAACUACCGGGCUAGAGUGUGUCAGAGGGAGGUGGAAUUCCGCGUGUAGCAGUGAAAUGCGUAGAUAUGCGGAGGAACACCGAUGGCGAAGGCAGCCUCCUGGGAUAACACUGACGCUAAUGCACGAAAGCGUGGGGAGCAAACAGG
rnacentral:rRNA from 1 species